rnacentral:rRNA from 1 species
CCUACGGGAUGCUGCAGUGGGGAAUUUUGCGCAAUGCUCGUAAGAGUGACGCAGCGACGCCGCGUGACUGAAGAAGGCCUUCGGGUCGUAAAGUACUUUCGUCCGGGAAGAAAAUGCCUAUAAGUAUCUGUAUAUGUGUUGACGGUACCUGAAUAAUCAGCCCCGGCUAACUGCGUGCCAGCAGCCGCGGUAAUACGGAGGGUGCGAGCGUUGUUCGGAGUGACUGGGCGUAAAGCGCACGUAGACGGUUACUUAAGUCAGAAGUGAAAGACCAGAGCUCAACUUGGGAAAGGCUAGCGAUACUGUGUGACUAGAGUGUGUCAGAGGGAUGUAGAAUUCCACGUGUAGCAGUGAAAUGCGUAGAUAUGUGGAGGAAUACCGUUGGCGAAGGCGGCCACCUGGCUUAACACUGACGUUGAGGCUCGAAAGCGUGGGUAGCAAACAGGAUUAGAUACCCGAGUAGUC